AGCGCUGCGCCGGGUCCGGCUCAGCUCCCAGCCGCGGACGCAGGACCCGAGGCUCGCUCCUGCGGGCGCGCUUGUUUUCCAGCUGCCGCCUCGCCCUGCGCAGCCCCCGCCCGCCUGGCCGCCGCGCUCUGCUCUGCCCCGCCUGCCUUCCUCGCCCGGCGCUGGAUUUAUGAAUGGGGGGAAGAGGCUACAUGCCGCCGCCGCCGCCUCGUGUUGACCGCAAGCAGCCCGGGCCCACGGAGCUCCGGCUGCCGUGAGAGUGUCAGCACGGCCCCGGCAGCCGCUCGGAGGACUUGUUGCUGCUACGCUGCCGCCGCUGCGGGGAAGCCGGCUGCUCCGGGGCUUGGUGCGGUCUGGGAGCCGGAGGGUGGCCCGUGUGAGUGUGAGCGCGCGCGCCCCGGACCUUCGCGGUGCGCCUGAACUGUGCGCUUUCUUGUCUUUGGUCGGGGUGACGGCGGGGGCGUGUCCCCGGCCCAGAGCGUCUGUCUGUCCCGUCCUAGCGGGGGACCGCGUGUGUGCUUGCUUCUACUUCCCCGGGUCCUCCCUCUCUCCGCCUCCCUCUCUCCGGAGCUUCCUGCCCUAACCCCAACCACCUGUGCACCAGAGAAAUCCAACUCCUCCCGCUCCGCGUCCUAGGGGGGAUAGGCAGGGGCAGGGCCACGCCGCAGAGGGGGCCGCCGCCGCCUCCUGCCUCUUCUUCGUCUCCUCCCCCUCCCCCGUCUGACGCUGCCUCCUCGGGAAGGGUGUUUGGAGGGCAGCGGCCGCCCCAAGCCGGAGCCCCGCAGCGCUUCUUAUGAUCAGCUCGGUGUGUGUCUCCUCCUACCGCGGGCGCAAGUCGGGGAACAAGCCUCCGUCCAAAACAUGUCUGAAGGAGGAGAUGGCCAAGGGCGAGGCGUCGGAGAAGAUCAUCAUCAACGUGGGCGGCACGCGACAUGAGACCUACCGCAGCACCCUGCGCACCCUACCGGGAACCCGCCUCGCCUGGCUGGCCGACCCCGACGGCGGGGGCCGGCCCGAGACCGAUGGCGGCGGUGCGGGCGGCAGCGGCGGCGGGGGCUGCGAGUUCUUCUUCGACAGGCACCCGGGCGUCUUCGCCUACGUGCUCAACUACUACCGCACCGGCAAGCUGCACUGCCCCGCCGACGUGUGCGGGCCGCUCUUCGAAGAGGAGCUCACCUUCUGGGGCAUCGACGAGACCGACGUGGAACCCUGCUGCUGGAUGACCUACCGGCAGCACCGCGACGCCGAGGAGGCGCUCGACAUCUUCGAGAGUCCGGACGGAGGCGGCAGCGGCGCGGGGCCCAGCGACGAGGCCGGCGACGAUGAACGGGAGCUGGCCCUGCAGCGAUUGGGCCCCCACGAGGGAGGCGCGGGCCACGGCGCCGGGUCUGGGGGCUGCCGCGGCUGGCAGCCCCGCAUGUGGGCGCUCUUCGAGGAUCCCUACUCCUCCCGGGCGGCUAGGGUAGUGGCCUUUGCCUCUCUCUUCUUCAUCCUGGUCUCCAUCACCACUUUCUGCCUGGAGACACAUGAGGCCUUUAAUAUCGACCGCAAUGUGACAGAGAUCCUCCGCGUGGGGAACAUCACCAGCGUGCACUUCCGGCGGGAGGUAGAGACAGAGCCCAUCCUGACCUACAUCGAGGGUGUAUGCGUGCUGUGGUUCACGUUGGAGUUCUUGGUGCGCAUCGUGUGCUGCCCCGACACGCUGGACUUCGUCAAGAAUCUGCUCAACAUCAUCGACUUUGUGGCCAUCCUGCCCUUCUACCUGGAGGUGGGGCUGAGCGGCCUGUCAUCCAAGGCAGCCCGAGACGUGCUGGGCUUCCUGCGUGUGGUGCGCUUCGUGCGCAUCCUGCGUAUCUUCAAGCUCACACGCCACUUCGUGGGGCUGCGCGUGCUGGGCCACACGCUGAGGGCCAGUACCAAUGAGUUUCUGCUGCUUAUCAUCUUCCUGGCCCUGGGCGUGCUCAUCUUUGCCACCAUGAUCUACUAUGCUGAGCGCAUCGGGGCCAGGCCCUCCGACCCUCGGGGUAAUGACCACACCGACUUCAAGAACAUCCCCAUUGGCUUCUGGUGGGCUGUGGUCACCAUGACGACACUGGGCUAUGGAGACAUGUACCCCAAGACGUGGUCAGGCAUGCUGGUAGGGGCACUGUGUGCGCUGGCUGGCGUGCUUACCAUCGCCAUGCCAGUGCCUGUCAUCGUCAACAACUUUGGCAUGUACUACUCCCUGGCCAUGGCCAAGCAGAAGCUGCCCAAGAAGCGGAAGAAGCACGUGCCACGGCCGGCCCAGCUGGAGUCGCCCAUGUACUGCAAGUCUGAGGAGACCUCCCCCCGGGACAGCACCUACAGUGAUACCAGCCCCCCUGCCCGGGAAGAGGGUAUGAUCGAGAGGAAACGGGCAGACUCUAAGCAGAAUGGCGAUGCCAACGCAGUGCUGUCCGAUGAGGAGGGAGCUGGCCUCACCCAACCCCUGGCCUCCUCCCCCACCCCUGAGGAACGCCGGGCCCUGCGACGCUCCACCACUCGAGACAGAAACAAGAAGGCAGCUGCCUGCUUCCUGCUCAGCGCUGGGGACUAUGCCUGCGCCGAUGGUAGUGUCCGGAAAGCUCUCAGUUCUGCUGAGGAAGCCCUGUGCUCCCAGUGAAGUGACCUGUGAACACCACUCUGCUCUGCAGGCAUGUGGCCAGAGGCUGGAGGAUGGAGGGAUCUCAUUACAGGCAUCUGUGGGUGGAGAAAAGCUGACUGACCAACAGAUUUACCCAACCUGGCAAGACAAUUUACCCUCUUUGGAAUCUGCGUUUUAAAUCCAAGGACUAAAGAAGAGCCUACGUUCUUCUGAGAAAUUACUAUUAGCUCCCUUCAUGUCGAGGCUUUCAGACACUGCCUGGGAGUUUUGUGUUUUAGGAAAGUCAUGGGGUGGGGGACAAGGUCUCAAAUUUCAGUCUGUGGGUGAGUCUUCCCAGGCCUGGCCCAGGCUUUCAGAGAAAGGCACCCCCGGAGGUUUUCAGAAAGGUGUGUUUGUCUGAAGACUCCUGGGACAUUAGACGGCAGAGAAAAUAAAACCCACCAAAAUGGCAAGGCAAAGCUGGGCCAUUUGAGGAAAUUCAGAAGGAAAAACUCCCAACAGAAUCUUAAGGUAAUAAAGUGACACCUCUGGUGCAAGCUAGAGAAAUUCUCAGAGUUGCCCUGGGGCCAGGAAUUACUCAAUUAAAUAGCAAAAGCCCAAAGGGAAAUGGAGAAACAGUACCUCUUCCUCCUUUACCUGAAGCUCUGCUCCCCCUAUUCCCUUCACCCCAUAUGCCCUCUGCCAGCAGCUUCUCCCCGCAGGCCCUACCCUUAGACCAGUCUGCCAUCACAUCCCAGCUGUCAGUACAUUCCUCCUUUCCGGCGAGGACACCAGCACUGAUUGAUCUUCUCUCCUCCUGCUCCUCUCUGGCCCUGGUCCAAGCUGUUUCCUAUCACUUUCUCCUUGGAGCAUUCUAGCUGAUCUUUCCUAUCACUUUCCCCCAGGGCGGGGAAGGGUCUCAUUUCCACCUUCUUAAGAUAUUGUCUCCUAUGAUAUAUUUAUUUUUUCUUUUUUAGCUAUCUCCUACCAAGAGGGUGGUCUCCUACUAUUUAAACAGAAAAGAGUGUUUAUUUUGAGGGAGAGUGGACAGGCAAUAAGGAAGCUACAUUGAUUUCCUUACACAGUGCCUGAGCCAAGAGGACUCUGGCCCUAGUAUCCACGUGACCAGAGCAUCCUCAAGCCCACCCUUCAGCCCCUGCACUGUCCCCCACAAGUGUUUGCAUUUGCCAGCCCAAGUCUUGUCAGGGGCAUAACCCUCUGACUACAUCCUCACACUCUACAUUUAGCUCAUUCUCCUCUCCCUGUGACAUCCUGGGCACCACUUCGUCCUCUCCCUCUCCCCAGCCCUUUCUCCAAAUCCCCCAAGUGGGAAGGAUAGUUGGGAGCAGAAAGCAGUUUAGCUUUUACAAGCCCGGUGCAAGGAUCUGCUAAGAGCUAUUCCAAGGACCAUGUUUGCCAGAACAGAUUUUGUAUUUAAUCAAUGAAGGUGUUUCUCUCCCAGCAGACAGCUAAUCGCCAAGAGCCUCACAUUCAUCUUCUCUUGGUAUUUACUCAGAUGGGAAAAGUGGCUCCUCUUACCCUUACUGCCUGAAGAUCAUUCUUCCUUUCCCCAGCUUCUCCCCAUUCACAUCGGGGAAUUGUACUAUUCGACCAGCUCUCUCCUGUGGGAAGAGUCAGAGGCGGGUGAGAGGAUGAUGACCUGGGGAGGCAAAGUGACAGAAUAUGUCAAAGAGCAGUGACAGUCUCUAGGUUUUAAGCUGCCUGGGAUGGCAUGGGGGAUGGUGAUUAUAUUGAGUCACCACUGAUGAAAUAUUUAUUGAGCUGUGAAGGAAACACUCCAGGGUAAAGCAGAGAAGCAGUAACUGAUUUAAGAUGCAGAAGUUCAAGUACUCACACCAUUGCCUCACUGUGCAGGAACAGCAAGUUCUUUACCUCCUCUGGGUGUCAGCUCAUAGGCCUGGGCUAUCAGGGCUGGAAGGGAGCAGAGAGAACCUUUAUUGGAACCUCACCUAUUAAAGAUGGGGCAUUGGUGUGUUGCUGAUGACAGAACCUGAAAAAACCUACUCUUCUACAGCAGGUUGAAUUCAUGACCUGAAGCUGAAUGCUUCCAGCAUGUUCGUUCAGGGUGUAGAUGGGAAUAAAGUAUCUUUGCAGUGCUGUGUUCCCUCCGUCUCCCCAGACAUCUGACACCCUAAAAGCCAUCCACAGCUAUGGAGCCUGAGCGACACCUUGAUUUGUGUUGUCACCCGACCAAGCCUAAAGACCUCUAGCUCAGUCCCCCACCUUCAUACCACCCCCCAGAUGAUAAAAUUCAGACCUCUCUCCUGAAAGGCAGAGGUUAAACAUUCAGGACUGUUUCUGGCCGAGGACUUCUUCCAAUUAAAAUCCCCACCAUGGGCUGUCUCCCCUCAUUUCACUUUUCUAAAGGGGCAGAGGCUCUUUUUUGAUUUUCCUGAGCCUCCCUUUGUUGGAUCUGCCGGAAGACUUGUCGGGGAACCUUUAGUGAGGGUACUUCUUCCUAUUUUUCUUCUGUUUUUGGAGGCAUACACAUUAUGCAUAAC